rnacentral:rRNA from 1 species
GCCUUAUCCGGCCUACAGGGACGCGCCGAUCCACCCUCAAUAUAACCACAAGCCUUCCCAACACAGAUACGGUAAACUAUUGCCGAUUGAGUAUCAGGAAAGCAGCCAUGACCCACUCCCUAAAACCCUGGAAUACCUUCGGCAUUGAUCAUUGUGCAAAGCACAUCGUAUGCGCUGAAAACGAACAACAACUACUGAGCGCCUGGCAGCAAGCAACUCGUGAGGGACUGCCGGUUAUGAUCCUGGGUGAAGGAAGCAAUGUCCUGUUUCUGGAAAAUUACGCCGGCACCGUGAUCCUUAACCGCCUGAAAGGCAUUGAGGUCAAUGAAACCGCGGACGCCUGGCACCUACACGUCGGCGCAGGCGAAAACUGGCAUCAGCUGGUUCGCUACGCGCUGGAUAACAACAUGCCCGGCCUGGAGAAUCUGGCGCUCAUCCCUGGCUGCGUUGGUUCCUCGCCUAUACAGAAUAUUGGCGCGUAUGGCGUAGAACUACAGCGCGUCUGCGACUACGUUGACUGCGUUGAACUGGAAACGGGAAAACGUCUGCGUUUGUCUGCGGCGGAAUGCCGUUUCGGCUAUCGUGACAGUAUCUUCAAAAAUGAAUAUCAGGAUCGCGUUGCGAUCGUCGCGGUGGGGCUGCGUUUGUCAAAGCAAUGGCAGCCGGUGUUGACCUAUGGCGAUCUUACUCGUCUGGACCCGAAAACGGUCACCGCACAACAGGUAUUUGAUGCUGUAUGCCAUAUGCGCACCACAAAAUUGCCGGAUCCUAAAGUGAAUGGCAAUGCGGGCAGCUUUUUUAAAAAUCCCGUUGUCGCAGCCGAUAUCGCCAUGGAACUACUGGAACGAUUUCCCAACGCGCCGCAUUACCCUCAGGCAGACGGCUCAGUGAAGCUAGCGGCAGGCUGGCUGAUUGACCAAUGUCAGUUGAAAGGCGUCGCCAUUGGCGGCGCUGCGGUACAUCGCCAACAGGCGCUGGUAUUGAUUAAUGCGAAUGAUGCGACAAGUAAAGAUGUGGUGGCGCUGGCGCAUCAUGUCCGGCAAAAAGUGGGUGAAAAAUUUAAUGUCUGGCUGGAGCCUGAGGUUCGCUUUAUUGGUCAGCUCGGAGAGGUGAACGCUGUGGAGAGCAUUGCAUGAAAGAUACUACCGUUCCCCUGACGCUGAUCUCACUACUUGCCGACGGAGAGUUUCACUCAGGCGAGCAGUUGGGUGAACGGCUGGGAAUGAGCCGCGCGGCGAUUUCGCGGCGAUUAAUAAACAUAUCCAGACAUUACGCGACUGGGGAGUAGAUGUAUUUACCGUUCCCGGGAAAGGAUAUAGCUUACCGGAACCCAUCCAGUUACUGGAUGCUGACCGUAUACAUAGCCAACUGGAUAGCGGAAACGUGGCGGUAUUGCCCGUUAUCGAUUCAACCAAUCAGUAUUUACUUGAUCGAAUUGGCGAGCUGCGUUCAGGCGAUGCCUGUGUAGCAGAAUACCAACAGGCAGGGCGUGGUCGUCGCGGGCGUAAAUGGUUCUCACCGUUUGGCGCGAAUCUAUAUCUUUCAAUGUACUGGCGUCUGGAGCAGGGGCCUGCGGCGGCAAUAGGCUUGAGUCUGGUCAUUGGAAUUGUGAUGGCGGAAGUGCUGCGUGAACUGGGCGCAGAUAAAGUUCGUGUGAAGUGGCCUAACGACCUCUACCUGCUGGAUCGCAAACUGGCGGGUAUUCUGGUCGAGUUAACCGGUAAAACGGGCGAUGCCGCACAAAUAGU